rnacentral:lncRNA from 1 species
UGACUUAAAUUUGACUGGCUACACAUAAUAUUGCGGGUAAAAAAUACAUUUAAUAUCGGAGAAUUAUAUGAACUUAUUACAUUGGUUGCAAUGAUUUGCAUUGAUUUACCAGUUUAAUAAAAACCGACAGUUUAACAUGUGAAAAAAAACGUGGUUAUUUCACUCUCUGACGUCGUACAACAAUAGGCGUUGUCAAGACGUCGAUAACGGCGGAUCAAAACAAAUUGUGAAUGCGUAGAAAAAAAGA